AAAUAGCAUCUUCAGAGUUCGUAAGUCGUAAAAGCAUGUAAUCUUAUAGAGUUUGAUUUUAUUUUUCUUCACAUGUUGGUAGUUAUCAAAAUUUUUUAUAGAAGUCAUCUUGUGCAUCAUUAAUUUGUAGCUAAAUCAUAUCCCAUAUAGAAUGUGACUGAAAACACAAUUAAAUCCACUCAUCUUUUAUUCUGCAUCACUUUUUCCAAUCUUCUACCCUAAUAUAUUUCUUUUUCUACGUAAAAUAUAACCUUAUUGAUCUUUGAACUUGCUUUUAGCAUGCCAACUGGCACAGGUUAUACUCGCAAUCUAAUGCUUGCUUUACUUCCAAAAAACAAAACUUCAUUGAUCUAUGAAGAUAACACCACCCACCCCUCCCCACAUCGCCACGUCCAAAGAGACAGCUGCCUGAAAUGUAGCUUGUAGGUAUAAGACCAUCUCAUCUUUUCUUAGUCUAUUAUCCACUUCCAUGGCCAUUAUUGUUCCAAAAUAUAAGGCCAGUCCAUUGAUUACUGUGCCAGUUCCGUAAAAUAAUCUGAUUAUCCUAUUUCAGUUAACUCUGAUGGAUUUGGUAAACGAGAUCAAUAAUUUCUUCAUCACUUUUUUAUGAUUUUGAAACCGUUUUGUCGAUUUUGUGCGACCUUACUCUCUUUCUGGAGGUUGUGUUUUAUAAGCUUACAGGUGACAAUAUAUAGACAAGAUAUCAUAAUCAUAUGUUUGGCACAUUUGAAUAAAACAGGCAUGGCUUACGUAUUUCUGGAGAAGAGCUGAAGGCCAUGGUUUGGAGGUGGACAUUGCGAAAGAAAGAGUCCAGUUUUGGAUUGGCCGAAGCGCUCACUCGCCAAGUUCACACGAUGCUGUUGAUGUUGAGCAAGGGUUAAUGGAGCUUAGAAAGUUGGGCAUUGAACGUUGCUUGUGGGAGGCAUCCAGGAAGGAAGUCGACCCAGACUCUUCCAUUUCUACAGUCAAAUGACCAAAGUUGAGCUUAUAACUAAACUCUGGGAUAUCAUUUUACUUUUAUUUAUUUAUUUAUUUUUAUGCAUUUGUAAUAUUUCCUUUUGUUUCUUCACUCACUUGAAAGCAAUAGUUUGUUUCUGCACGAGUUUGUAAUAGCAGAUUACAGAAUGCAGGCUUGCUCUUCGUUUUAAUUUUUAGUACUACUUGGGAUAGCUGAAACGAGUCCAGAAGACAACUUUUGAAUGAUAAA